rnacentral:rRNA from 1 species
CCAGACUCAUACGGGAGGCAGCAGUGAGGAAUAUUGGUCAAUGGUCGGAAGACUGAACCAGCCAUGCCGCGUGCAGGAAGAAUGCCUUAUGGGUUGUAAACUGCUUUUAUAUGGGAAGAAUAAGGAGUACGCGUACUUUGAUGACGGUACCAUAUGAAUAAGCAUCGGCUAACUCCGUGCCAGCAGCCGCGGUAAUACGGAGGAUGCGAGCGUUAUUCGGAAUCAUUGGGUUUAAAGGGUCUGUAGGCGGGCUAUUAAGUCAGGGGUGAAAGGUUUCAGCUUAACUGAGAAAUUGCCUUUGAUACUGGUAGUCUUGAAUAUCUGUGAAGUUCUUGGAAUGUGUAGUGUAGCGGUGAAAUGCUUAGAUAUUACACAGAACACCGAUUGCGGAGGCAGGGGACUAACAGACGAUUGACGCUGAGAGACGAAAGCGUGGGGAGCGAACAGGAUUAGAUACCCUGGUAGUCCACGCUGUAAACGAUGGAUACUAGCUGUUUGGAGUAAUUUGAGUGGCUAAGCGAAAGUGAUAAGUAUCCCACCUGGGGAGUACGCACGCAAGUGUGAAACUCAAAGGAAUUGACGGGGGCCCGCACAAG